UAGGGAAUUUUCGGCAAUGGACGAAAGUCUGACCGAGCAAUGCCGCGUGAAUGAAGAAGGUCUUCGGAUUGUAAAAUUCUUUUAUUGGCAAAGAAAGAUAUGGCUAGGAAAUGAGUUAUAUUUGACGGUACCCAUUGAAUAAGCCCCGGCUAACUACGUGCCAGCAGCCGCGGUAAUACGUAGGGGGCGAGCGUUAUCCGGAAUUAUUGGGCGUAAAGCGUGCGUAGGCGGAAUGUUAAGUCAUUUGUAAAAGAUCUCAGCCCAACUGAGUAAGGCGAAUGAAACUGGCAAUCUUGAAUACGGUAGAGGUAAGUGGAAUUCCAUGUGUAGCGGUGGAAUGCGUAGAUAUAUGGAGGAACACCAAUGGCGAAGGCAGCUUACUGGGCCGGAAUUGACGCUGAGGCACGAAAGCGUGGGGAGCAAACAG
rnacentral:rRNA from 1 species